rnacentral:rRNA from 1 species
UACGGGGGGGGCAAGCGUUGUUCGGAAUUACUGGGCGUAAAGGGCUCGUAGGCGGCCAACUAAGUCGGAUGUGAAAUCCCCAGGCCUAACCUGGGAACUGCAUCCGAUACUGGAUGGCUUGAAUCCGGGAGAGGGAUGCGGAAUUCCAGGUGUAGCGGUGAAAUGCGUAGAUAUCUGGAGGAACACCGGUGGCGAAGGCGGCAUCCUGGACCGGCAUUGACGCUGAGGAGCGAAAGCCAGGGGAGCAAACGGG